CUAGGGUUACCGCGGCCGUCGCCCCACCCCUGCUCAUGGCCUCGGUUGAUUUAGCGCCGCCGCCACCCCUUUUCUCUUGUCCACGCUCUCUGUCCUUGCAAGCAACCUCUCCUCUCCUCGUCUCUCUCCUCCGCGUCUUCCUCCGGGGAGCCUUGCGGCUGCAGCAGGAGGGGAGAAAGGAGGCCGGGCCAGCCGAUUUCCUCGCCGGAUCUGGAGCGCAGGGGCGACGCCGGCGAGUAACCGAUCAGGGAGGAGCAUUGGUCGCCGGUGAAGAAAAUAUGGGAGGGAGACGAGAGGAGCACUGAUCGGGUGGAGUCAUCAGGGAUGGUCGAUGCCAAGGUCAGCUUUCCCAAUCAUUCUCCCCCAUCUUUGCAGCAAGACUCAUUGGGUUCCUUCGAUCUAAGCCGGUUUAUGUCGUUUUGCUUCAUAUAAUCAUGGUGGAACUAGGCUAUAUUUCUUACAGUGAAGCGAGGGUGACUAAAAAAAAUUUGGUGUACGUCAAUCAUUAGCUUGAAUUUUUACCUGCAGCUGAUCUUAUUCUGGUGAGAGUUUGAUGACAGGGAGAAAGUUCAGAGAUGUGUCCAGUCUUGCAUUCCCAAGUAAUCAUUGGUGUUCAUUUUUGAAAUACUGCUUUGUACUUCCACCGUAACAAAAUGUAAGACGUUUUUAUACCCUAUGCAAACCAAAAAAAGUCUUAUAUUUUGGUACAAAG
rnacentral:lncRNA from 1 species